AUUGAACGCUGGCGGCAGGCCUAACACAUGCAAGUCGAGCGGAUGAAGGGAGCUUGCUCCUGGAUUCAGCGGCGGACGGGUGAGUAAUGCCUAGGAAUCUGCCUGGUAGUGGGGGAUAACGUCCGGAAACGGGCGCUAAUACCGCAUACGUCCUGAGGGAGAAAGUGGGGGAUCUUCGGACCUCACGCUAUCAGAUGAGCCUAGGUCGGAUUAGCUAGUUGGUGGGGUAAAGGCCUACCAAGGCGACGAUCCGUAACUGGUCUGAGAGGAUGAUCAGUCACACUGGAACUGAGACACGAUCCAGACGACUAAGGGAGGCAGCAGUGGGGAAUAUUGGACAAUGGGCGAAAGCAUGAUCCAGCCAUGCCGAGUGUGUGAAGAAGGUCUUCGGAUUGUAAAGCACUUUAAGUUGGGAGGAAGGGCAGUAAGUUAAUACCUUGCUGUUUUGACGUUACCAACAGAAUAAGCACCGGCUAACUUCGUG
rnacentral:rRNA from 1 species